AAUUAAAUAUAAUAGUCUAAUAAAUUAUCAAAAAUUUAAAUAAUUUAAAACAUUUUUAAAUUUAGUAAAAGUGAUAGAAAAUUGAUUAUUAAAUAAGAUCUAAGAAGAGUACCGUAAGGGAACGGAUUUAAUUGAAAAAUAAAAAAGUUUAAUACUUGUACCUUUUGCAUCAUGGUUUAGCUAGAUAUGUAUUUUUUCUUAAAUUUCUCGAAAUCUAAUGAGUUAUUUUUAUUCAAUAUAUUAGUAUGAAAAGAGUAGUUGUAGCAAAAACUUUCUUAGAAAUAAAGAUGGAAAUGAAAUUUUAUUCGUAUUAGAUGAUAGCUAGUUUUUCUGUAAAAGUAUAUAAGUACUUUAAAUUGAUUUAAUUUUUAUAAAUUAUUAUAUAAAAAGAAUUUAAUUUAAUCAAAUUUUCGAGGAUAAGCUCGAAAAUUGAAGAAUAUAUUUGUAUUAUAUUUUUAUUAGAAUUUAGGCUUGAAAAUAGCCAUAAUUUUGAGUUUGUUAUAAUUUAUUAACUAAUUAAAAAAAUAAUUGAUUUACUUAUGAUUAUAGAAAAAAAUUUAAUAAUUAAAUUAAAUUGUAUUAAUGCUAAAAUGAGUAUUAAAAGUCUUAUAUUUCUUUAACAGUUUAUUAGUUAAGGCCUAUAUUUAUCUAUGACAUAAAAAUUAUAAAAAGGAACUCGGCAAAUACUCAUUCUGCCUGUUUAGCAAAAACAUGGCUCCUUGACUUUUAAUAAUGAGGAGUCGGACCUGCCCAGUGAAUUUUCAACGGCCGCGGUACUCUGACCGUGCAAAGGUAGCAUAAUCAUUUGCCUUAUAAUUGAAGGCUAGUAUGAAUGGUUUGACAAGAAUGAAGCUGUCUCUUUAUAAUUUAGUAGAAUUUUAUUUUUAGGUGAAGAAGCCUAAGUAAAAUUAAAAGACAAGAAGACCCUAUCGAGCUUAAAAAAAGUUAAUAGAAUUAAGCUAGUCGAUAUUCAUAAAAGAUUGUCUAUUAAAUAUUUUAGUUGGGGCGACUGAGGAACAUAAGAAGCUUCCUUUAAAUAAAUUAACUAAAAUCAGACUAGAAUUGAUCCAAAAUUAUUUUGAUUAAAGAAAUUAGUUACCGUAGGGAUAACAGCAUUAUCUUUUUUAAGAGCUCAUAUCGAAAAAAAGGUUUGUGACCUCGAUGUUGGACCAGAAUAUCCUAAAGAUGCAGCAGUCUUUAAGGGUUGGUCUGUUCGACCAUUAAAAUUCUACGUGAUCUGAGUUCAGACCGGCGCGAGCCAGGUCAGUUUCUAUCUUUAAUUAAUUUGAUAAAUUUAGUACGAAAGGACCAAUUUAUCAUAAAAUUAUAUUUCUACCGAUUAAAUUUAAUUGAAAAUUAAAUAUCAAAUUAGCAAAAAUUAAUGCAAUUGACUUAGGAUCAAUAGAUAUAGGUGAAAUUCCUUUAUUUGAUAAAAGGCAUAAAGAUGGCAGAUGAA
rnacentral:rRNA from 1 species